rfam:Triticum aestivum genome assembly, contig: Triticum_aestivum_CS42_TGACv1_scaffold_145868_2BS
AAAGUACUCCCUCCGUCCGAAAAAGCUUGUCCUAAACUUGUCUUUUAAAUGAAUGUAUCUAGCACUAACUUGAAGCUAGAUACAUUUAUUUGAGGGACAAGUUUUUUCGGACGGGAGGAGUACUAC